UACGUAGGGUGCAAGCGUUAAUCGGAAUUACUGGGCGUAAAGCGUGCGCAGGCGGUUAUAUAAGACAGUUGUGAAAUCCCCGGGCUCAACCUGGGAACUGCAUCUGUGACUGUAUAGCUAGAGUACGGUAGAGGGGGAUGGAAUUCCGCGUGUAGCAGUGAAAUGCGUAGAUAUGCGGAGGAACACCGAUGGCGAAGGCAAUCCCCUGGGCCUGCACUGACGCUCAUGCACGAAAAGCGUGGGGAGCAAACAGG
rnacentral:rRNA from 1 species